GACGAACGCUGGCGGCGUGCUUAACACAUGCAAGUCGAACGGAAAGGCCCUGCUUUUGUGGGGUGCUCGAGUGGCGAACGGGUGAGUAACACGUGAGUAACCUGCUCUAGACUUUGGGAUAACUUCAGGAAACUGGGGCUAAUACCGGAUAGGAGCUCCUGCUGCAUGGUGGGGGUUGGAAAUUUUCGGCGGUUGGGGAUGGACUCGCGGCUUAUCAGCUUGUUGGUGGGGUAGUGGCUUACCAAGGCUGUGACGGGUAGCCGGCCUGAGAGGGUGAACGGCCACAUUGGGACUGAGAUACGGCCCAGAGGCGUACGGGAGGCAGUAGGGGGGAAUAUUGCACAAUGGGCGGAAGCCGGAUGCAGCAACGCCGCGGGCGGGAUGACGGCCUUCGGGUUGUAAACCGCUUUCGCCUGUGACGAAGCGUGAGUGACGGUAAUGGGUAAAGAAGCACCGGCUAACUACGUG
rnacentral:rRNA from 1 species